UAAAUAAAUAUUUGUUUCGCACGAAAGCGUUUUAAUUAGAUAGUAAUGGCUAUAAAUAUACAAACAUUCGGUAUAAUCGAAUCAUAAUUAGUGUCAACAACUCAACACGGUACUCAUCUGCGAUAAUACCAUUAUAGAAAAACAAGAAAAUGAAAUUCAUUAAUAUUACAUUAUGCGUGAUAUAUAUUGCAAUUUGUAUUCUUGCAUUUGGUAGUAGCAACGCAGAAGCAAGCAAAGGAGACAUACCUGGGGAACCCAUCUUAAAAAGCUGAAGUGAAACAGUUCAGCACUCGCCUACAUCUAAUAAGACCGCUCAUUCAGUACAAUCUGAAUAUUUCUAACCGUUUACCUUCAUACAAAACCCUCCUUCUACCAACGUGGUCUUUCGGUAUUGCUCUUUGUGGUGCCGCAAAACCCUCAAACAUCAGGACAAUUCAGGCGUUCCAGUACAUAUGUCUCCGCUUGGCCACCAAAGCCCCGCGGUACGUCACAACCAACUCCCUUCACGAAGACCUCAAAGUAACAACAGUCAAAAAGACUGCAUCUACAUUCUACCUAAGACUACACUCCAAAAUGCAAUGCCAUUCAAACCGACUUGUCACCCAGCUGUACUGAAAAACACUUCCGGACAAUCCAAACAGACGCCUCAAACGGAAUUGGUCAAGAAACCUACUCAAUGUAAAUUAACUUAAUUAUUAUAUUAUCAUCUAAAAAUAAAUUUUCCAAGUUUAAGAUAAAAUUUUUGAUUGUAAAUUCAUGGGUAAAGUUUCAAAUUAAUAUUAAUAAUUUGUGUUAAAAGUUGAUGCCUAAAUUAAUAUGAAUACUGUAUGACUAUUUUUCCCUCAAAAAAAAAUGUAGUGUUAUUUUCUCCCCUCCCUGGAAAA